AGAAUCAACGCUGGCGGCGUGCCUCAGACAUGCAAGUCGAACGCGAAAGUUCCCUUCGGGGGAUGAGUAGAGUGGCGCACGGGUGAGUAACACGUAGGUAAUCUACCUUUGGAUGGGGAAUAACAACCGGAAACGGUUGCUAAUACCGCAUAAUGCAGCGGCACCUAAUGGUGACAGUUGUUAAAGCGGGGGAUCGAAAGACCUCGCGUCUGAAGAGGAGCCUGCGGCGGAUUAGCUAGUUGGUAGGGUAACGGCCUACCAAGGCUACGAUCC
rnacentral:rRNA from 1 species